rnacentral:rRNA from 1 species
GACUCUCGACAACGGAUAUCUCGGCUCUC